rfam:Mus musculus chromosome 8, GRC primary reference assembly.
UAGGUGGCAGGUGUGGCAGCUGUGUCAGAAGUGUGUCAAGAGGAGAAAUGGUGUGUCUAUGCUCAGUGUUCUGACCUGUGAACAUCUGAAUGAAUAGUGACCUACCAUU